AUUAGCUAGUUGGUAAGGUAACGGCUUACCAAGGCAACGAUACGUAGCCGACCUGAGAGGGUGAUCGGCCACACUGGAACUGAGACACGGUCCAGACUCCUACGGGAGGCAGCAGUAGGGAAUCUUCCGCAAUGGGCGAAAGCCUGACGGAGCAACGCCGCGUGAGUGAUGAAGGUCUUCGGAUCGUAAAACUCUGUUAUUAGGGAAGAACAUACGUGUAAGUAACUAUGCACGUCUUGACGGUACCUAAUCAGAAAGCCACGGCUAACUACGUGCCAGCAGCCGCGGUAAUACGUAGGUGGCAAGCGUUAUCCGGAAUUAUUGGGCGUAAAGCGCGCGUAGGCGGUUUUUUAAGUCUGAUGUGAAAGCCCACGGCUCAACCGUGGAGGGUCAUUGGAAACUGGAAAACUUGAGUGCAGAAGAGGAAAGUGGAAUUCCAUGUGUAGCGGUGAAAUGCGCAGAGAUAUGGAGGAACACCAGUGGCGAAGGCGACUUUCUGGUCUGUAACUGACGCUGAUGUGCGAAAGCGUG
rnacentral:rRNA from 1 species